GCCUUCUUAGUUCAGUGGUUAGAAUUUUUCACUAGUACUUGGCACUCGUUGCAUACUACGAUGAAAGGGUCACCCGUUCAAUUCGGGUAGAAGGCA